rnacentral:rRNA from 1 species
CAGGCUUAACACAUGCAAGUCGAGGGGCAUCAGGAAGAAAGCUUGCUUUCUUUGCUGGCGACCGGCGCACGGGUGAGUAACACGUAUCCAACCUGCCCUUUACUCGGGGAUAGCCUUUCGAAAGAAAGAUUAAUACCCGAUGGCAUAAUGAUUCCGCAUGGUUUCAUUAUUAAAGGAUUCCGGUAAAGGAUGGGGAUGCGUUCCAUUAGGUUGUUGGUGAGGUAACGGCUCACCAAGCCUUCGAUGGAUAGGGGUUCUGAGAGGAAGGUCCCCCGCAUUGGAACUGAGACACGGUCCAAACUCCUACGGGAGGCAGCAGUGAGGAAUAUUGGUCAAUGGGCGCUAGCCUGAACCAGCCAAGUAGCGUGAAGGAUGAAGGCUCUAUGGGUCGUAAACUUCUUUUAUAUAAGAAUAAAGUGCAGUAUGUAUACUGUUUUGUAUGUAUUAUAUGAAUAAGGAUCGGCUAACUCCGUGCCAGCAGCCGCGGUAAUACGGAGGAUCCGAGCGUUAUCCGGAUUUAUUGGGUUUAAAGGGAGCGUAGGUGGACUGGUAAGUCAGUUGUGAAAGUUUGCGGCUCAACCGUAAAAUUGCAGUUGAUACUGUCAGUCUUGAGUACAGUAGAGGUGGGCGGAAUUCGUGGUGUAGCGGUGAAAUGCUUAGAUAUCACGAAGAACUCCGAUUGCGAAGGCAGCUCACUGGACUGCAACUGACACUGAUGCUCGAAAGUGUGGGUAUCAAACAGGAUUAGAUACCCUGGUAGUCCACACAGUAAACGAUGAAUACUCGCUGUUGCGGAUAUACAGUAAGCGGCCAAGCGAAAGCAUUAAGUAUUCCACCUGGGGAGUACGCCGGCAACGGUGAAACUCAAAGGAAUUGACGGGGGCCCGCACAAGCGGAGGAACAUGUGGUUUAAUUCGAUGAUACGCGAGGAACCUUACCCGGGCUUAAAUUGCAGUGGAAUGAUGUGGAAACAUGUCAGUGAGCAAUCACCGCUGUGAAGGUGCUGCAUGGUUGUCGUCAGCUCGUGCCGUGAGGUGUCGGCUUAAGUGCCAUAACGAGCGCAACCCUUAUCUUUAGUUACUAACAGGUUAUGCUGAGGACUCUAGAGAGACUGCCGUCGUAAGAUGUGAGGAAGGUGGGGAUGACGUCAAAUCAGCACGGCCCUUACGUCCGGGGCUACACACGUGUUACAAUGGGGGGUACAGAAGGCAGCUAGCGGGUGACCGUAUGCUAAUCCCAAAAGCCUCUCUCAGUUCGGAUCGAAGUCUGCAACCCGACUUCGUGAAGCUGGAUUCGCUAGUAAUCGCGCAUCAGCCACGGCGCGGUGAAUACGUUCCCGGGCCUUGUACACACCGCCCGUCAAGCCAUGGGAGCCGGGGGUACCUGAAGUACGUAACCGCAAGGAUCGUCCUAGGGUAAAACUGGUGACUGGGGC